rnacentral:rRNA from 1 species
UACGUAGGGGGCGAGCGUGUCCGGAAUGACUGGGCGUAAAGGGCGUGUAGGCGGCCUGUUAAGUUAGGAGUGAAAGUCCCGCUUUCAAGGUGGGAAUUGCUUUUAAUACUGAUGGGCUUGAGUGCAGAAGAGGUAAGUGGAAUUCCCAGUGUAGCGGUGAAAUGCGUAGAGAUUGGGAGGAACACCAGUGGCGAAGGCGACUUACUGGGCUGUAACUGACGCUGAGGCGCGAAAGCGUGGGGAGCGAACAGGAUUAGAUACCCUGGUAGUCCACGCGGUAAACGAUGAAUGCUAGGUGUAGGGGGUAUCGACCCCUCCUGUGCCGGAGUAAACACAAUAAGCAUUCCGCCUGGGGAGUACGGCCGCAAGGUUGAAACUCAAAGGAAUUGACGGGGGCCCGCACAAGCAGCGGAGCAUGUGGUUUAAUUCGAAGCAACGCGAAGAACCUUACCAGGUCUUGACAUCGAGGAAAAGCCGUAGAGAUACGGUGUGGAUUCGUCCGUCCGAAGACAGGUGGUGCAUGGUUGUCGUCAGCUCGUGUCGUGAGAUGUUGGGUUAAGUCCCGCAACGAGCGCAACCCUUAUCUUCAGUUACUAACGCGUAAUGGUGAGGACUCUGGAGAGACUGCCGGGGAUAACUCGGAGGAAGGUGGGGACGACGUCAAAUCAUCAUGCCCCUUAUGACCUGGGCUACACACGUGCUACAAUGGUGUUGAACAAAGAGGAGCGAGCCAGUGAUGGUAAGCGGAUCUCAAAAAAGACAUCUCAGUUCGGACUGUGGGCUGCAACCCGCCCACACGAAGUUGGAGUUGCUAGUAAUCGCGAAUCAGAAUGUCGCGGUGAAUACGUUCCCGGGCCUUGCACUCACCGCCCGU